GGGAUAGAAUUCCAGGAGUAGCGGUGAAAUGCGUAGAUAUCUGGAGGAAUACCAAAGGCGAAGGCAGUCCCCUGGUCCGAUACUGACACUGAGGUACGAAAGCGUGAGGAGCAAACAGGAUUAGAUACCCUGGUAGUCCACGCCCUAAACGAUGUCGAUUAGCCAUUGGAAGGACCCCUUUUCCUUUCAGUGACGUAGCUAACGCGUUAAAUCGACCGCCUGGGAAGUACGACCGCAAGGUUAAAACUCAAAGGAAUUGACGGGGACCUGAACAAGCGGUGAAUGAUGUGGAUUAAUUCGAUGCUACGCGAAGAACCUUACCUACCUUUGACAUGGCCAAAGUUCUACCGAGAGGCGGAAGUACUCGUAAGAGGAUUGGCGCACAGGUGCUGCAUGGUUGUCGUCAGUUCGUGUCGUGAGAUGUUGGGUUCAGUCCCGCAACGAACGCAACCCUUAUCUUUAAUUGCUCCUAUUUUAACAGGCACUUUAAAGAAACUGCCAAUGAUAAGUUGGAGGAAGGUGGGGAUCACGUCAAGUCCGCAUGGCCUUUAUAGGUAGGGCUUCACACGUCAUACAAUGGUUAGAACAAAGAGCUGCAAAUUCGUAAGAAGGAGCCAAUCUCACAAACCUAACCUCAGUUCGAAUUGCGGUCUGCAACUCGAGCGCAUGAAGCCGGAAUCGCUAGUAAUCGUGGAUCAGAAUGCCACGGUGAAUACGUUCUUAGGUCUU
rnacentral:rRNA from 1 species